rnacentral:lncRNA from 1 species
GCAGAACUGAAUAUAUUACAGGGAAUUAGCCCUUAAAACUGUUAGGGGGUCUGGAGGAGCACAAGUCACUGCAGACCCCUAAUUUUAAAAGAUCAGGAACCCACAGGAAGCCUCUGCUGAUGUUGCAGAUCCUCUAGAGCCCCUAGGAGUAAAUGUCUUUAGAACACAAGGCUGCUGCCAAAACUCAUGUCUGUGAAACCUGUCCCUGAGAUGGCUGUGGCCUAACUUCCACCUCCCAAAUCUCAUAAUACUGAGUUUCACUGGAGAAAUGUAUUCCAUGUUCAGAAACCUGGGGCAGAGCAAGCCUGAGAGAUGUAAUAUUCUUACAUCUAUUCCCAAAGAUACAGACAGGAUCAGAGAAGCAAAUGGAAAUUUUACAAAAAUUACUAAAUGCAAAUAUGUGUGUCUAUGUUUGUGUGUAUAUCCACCAUAGAUCACUCUGGUUCUCCCCACAGUGCCAAGUCUAAAACCAGAGGACAUAUUCUUCUGGAGAAAUAAGUUAGGGCUUUCACACUGGGCCCAGAUCAAGUCUGGGACCUCAAUACUUCAUUUGUUUGUGUGGUUUGAAUUCUGAGAACCUCCAGCCCCUUCUUUUAGCUUCCCUUCCACCACCCCCUACCCCCUUUUCCUUCUGCACUAAGGGUCUUCAUGGUGUUUUUCUCCUACUAAGGACUUCCUACCAGAGGUGCUGAGGGAAUAUUGAUCUAGGUAUUUCCUUCUCAAUUCACUACAUAAGAAGCUUUUCUUGUGUUACUUUUUCUCAUCCUGAGAGGUCACAGAAGCUGGUCUGCUGGAAUAGAUCCCUAUCAGAAUAAAAACUGUGAACUGUUGAUAUCAACAAAUGCACUAGGACGUUAACAAAUGUGCUAGGGCAGUGGGUUAAUGGGCCUUCCUAGCAUGUCCUGUGUUAAUAGAGGCCUCCACGAUGACUGGACUCAUCUUUAACCUGGGAGGAUGGCAGUUUGAGUUUGAUUCAUUCUCUCUUCACCUCUACCUGAAACCUGAUGCUUUAAAGACCAGAGUUAUCUUUAUACAGACCUCCUGGGGUGUGAAAUUACCCCUCUUUACUUGACUAGUCUUUGUAAAUUACAAAAUGCAUGCAGGUAGGGGUGUGUGUGUGUACGUGUGCACACUUAGAAACUUUGAAUCCACAUCUCAGAAUAUUUUCCUGCCGGCCAACUACAAGUUUCAUUGCUUUAACUUGAGAACCUGUAGUCAGAUUGUUCUAUAAUUCUCUGUGUUCUUGUCUGUUCUAAAUGGCACAAGCUAAGUCUUAUAAUUGAGAGACUCUGAAGGAAAAGAUUAGCUUGACCAAUCACCAAAGAAGUCUAAGGGUAGUUGUCUCUAAUAGCUGCCCCCAUACAGCCAGUCCAUGGCUUGAUUCACUCACUCAACAUCUCCUGUUCCUUAGAAAUUCUGGCAAUUUGUUUUCAGAGUUCCUUCCAUCUCUAUCAUAUUGGCCACUCCGAAGUCAGCACAGAGAAUUAGGAUAUAGGACAUUCUGUUGCUCUCAUCUUCUCAUCUUUGUUCUCAUCUUCUGAAAAAACGCAUGUCCUCACCUGUGAAUCCUUUCUUAGCUAUUCUUCCAGGAAUAGGGAAUGAUUUUACUCAAUCAUCCAUGUAAAACAGAGACCAGAAACUUCAUUUAGACAUUAUGUUCUGUUGCAUGAGUAAACUAUGGAAUCUCAUCAAGGUCAGAAUGAUUUUAUAGAAUUCAGAUGUGUUUGUAUGCAUACGUGUUGUGUGUGUGUGUGUCU